CUAACUUAUUUAUCUAUGAAAGACCAAUGUGAGUAAAUUAUACACUAAAAAUACUGACCCAGUUAAAAUUACUUGGACUGGUAUAAAACUUUUCAAUAAGCGCAUGCUUCGUGAUUCCAUCUUUGUUGAAGUGAAGCAGGUGUGACUUAUUAUUGUACGAUACACCGUAAUUAUUGGAAACAUAGAGAUAACUGGUACUUUGACUGGUUUGGUGUAUAUCUCUCGAGAGCACCACUACUGUAUCACUUGAAGAUUUUCCACUCCAUUGCACCAUAAGCAUAUAGUGAUGGUCAUUGAACUCAUGCUAAAAUAUAAAAAAAUAAAAAACAAUCAGCAAGAAUUACAUGUCGAGAUAUUACCUUGGUACACAAGUUAUGUUAAUGUAUGGUGUUUGCAUGAAUUUUGUG